UCAGGAGACGCUGGCGGCGUGCCUAAUACAUGCAAGUCGUACGCUUCUUUUUCCACCGGAGCUUGCUCCACCGGAAAAAGAGGAGUGGCGAACGGGUGAGUAACACGUGGGUAACCUGCCCAUCAGAAGGGGAUAACACUUGGAAACAGGUGCUAAUACCGUAUAACAAUCGAAACCGCAUGGUUUUGAUUUGAAAGGCGCUUUCGGGUGUCGCUGAUGGAUGGACCCGCGGUGCAUUAGCUAGUUGGUGAGGUAACGGCUCACCAAGGCCACGAUGCAUAGCCGACCUGAGAGGGUGAUCGGCCACAUUGGGACUGAGACACGGCCCAAACUCCUACGGGAGGCAGCAGUAGGGAAUCUUCGGCAAUGGACGAAAGUCUGACCGAGCAACGCCGCGUGAGUGAAGAAGGUUUUCGGAUCGUAAAACUCUGUUGUUAGAGAAGAAUAAGGAUGAGAGUAACUGUUCAUCCCUUGACGGUAUCU
rnacentral:rRNA from 1 species